rnacentral:rRNA from 1 species
UACGUAGGGUGCAAGCGUUAAUCGGAAUACUGGGCGUAAAGCGUGCGCAGGCGGUUUUGUAAGUUUGUCGUGAAAGCCCCGAGCUCAACUCGGGAACUGCGUCCGAUACUGGCGGGCUUGAAUCCGGGAGAGGGGAUGCGGAAUUCCAGGUGUAGCGGUGAAAUGCGUAGAUAUCGUAAGGAAGACCAGUGGCGAAGGCGGGUCGUCUGGACAGUUCCUGACGCUGAGGCACGAAGGCCAGGGGAGACAAACCGGGGAGUUGA